GAUCUCUCCCCUGGCAUUGCGGUCGCGGCUCAGGUGCGUCAAUGUUUUGGUUCCUCGGUGCACUUCUCCCCCUCUGGAUCGCACAAAGAGUUCUUCUUGGUGGCUCAUUUCUCCUCUGCAAGUUUUCCCCUCAAUGAAGACUCCGUGGCCAUUGCUUUACAAUGUUGCAUUGGG
rnacentral:rRNA from 1 species